rnacentral:rRNA from 1 species
AUUGAACGCUGGCGGCAGGCCUAACACAUGCAAGUCGAGCGGAUGAAGGGAGCUUGCUCCUGGAUUCAGCGGCGGACGGGUGAGUAAUGCCUAGGAAUCUGCCUGGUAGUGGGGGAUAACGUCCGGAAACGGGCGCUAAUACCGCAUACGUCCUGAGGGAGAAAGUAGGGGAUCUUCGGACCUCACGCUAUCAGAUGAGCCUAGGUCGGAUUAGCUAGUUGGUGGGGUAAAGGCCUACCAAGGCGACGAUCCGUAACUGGUCUGAGAGGAUGAUCAGUCACACUGGAACUGAGACACGGUCCAGACUCCUACGGGAGGCAGCAGUGGGGAAUAUUGGACAAUGGGCGAAAGCCUGAUCCAGCCAUGCCGCGUGUGUGAAGAAGGUCUUCGGAUUGUAAAGCACUUUAAGUUGGGAGGAAGGGCAGUAAGUUAAUACCUGGCUGUUUUGACGUUACCAACAGAAUAAGCACCGGCUAACUUCGU